rnacentral:rRNA from 1 species
CGUGUAGGCGGUGCGGUAAGUUGGGCGUGAAAUCCCCGAGCUUAACUCGGGUGGGCCGUUCAAGAUUGCCGUGCUAGGGUGCGGGAGAGGGAAGUGGAAUUUCCGGUGUAGCGGUGAAAUGCGUAGAUAUCGGGAGGAACACCUGCGGCGAAGGCGGCUUCCUGGACCGUAACCGACGCUGAGGCGCGAAAGCUAGGGGAGCAAACAGGAUUAGAUACCCUGGUAGUCCUAGCCCUAAACGAUGAGCACUGGGUGUGGCCCCUCACGGGGCCGUGCCGAAGCUAACGCAUUAAGUGCUCCGCCUGGGGAGUACGGUCGCAAGGCUGAA